CCCGACGGCGUCAAACGCCGCUUCUAAAAUCUCAAGUCUUCCCUUCGUACCAAACGCGAGGUGGGCCGGAGCGAAGGCCAGCUGGCAGCCAGAAGCGGGAGCGCUCCCGUGGCGCCGUGCUUUUGGAAGCCUCGCUGAAGCUCUUGAUGGGCCGCUCAGUCACCGCGCUCGGCCGGCGUGAAUUCCCUCAGCAGAACGAGUUUGUAAGCAAAAGGCCCGGAGUUUUACUGUGGAGGAGAGGCCGCCCUUCUGAAAGCGGCCGCAGAGCUGCCCCCCGCCCGGGACAAAGCGGGACGGAGACCCAAAAAGGCCGAGGGAAUGAUGUGAACGACUUCCAUCACGACUGUGGGGUGAAUUGAGAUGGACCCCCUGUCUGACACCUCUGUUCUGCUCUGUGCCUGUUGCUGUGCCAGCGUUCAACACCGCCUCCAGUCUGACCGGUUCCCAUUUCGCUGAGGCGUGAGGCUGUAACAUCUGUAACGCGGGGACUGUGGGCACCUUUCUUCUUUCUCAAAUUAAUGAAUGCUGAGCAGACAGAGCCCUUUUAUCACAGCUGUGCUCUUAUCAGACCAUCUCCUCUAUUCCUUCCUUCCCCAGCCAUUGUGGAAGCAGACAUCCUGCCCAAGGCAUCCAAACCCACAAUCUGCCGCUUCUUCUACCGAGCCUCUGGAUUUUUGCCAGCAGCCCCUUGAGAGGGUCCCAGAUGUGACUGCUGCUUCUGUGCUGCCCUGAACGUAUCCGGUGAAAACAAAGGGCCACACUCAGCACGGUUGCCGCUUCGGAGGCCAACACUUCCUCCUCUGUCAGGGCUGUACGGUGGGAGACAGUGGUGCUGAGGCACCCCAGGAAAUACCCUGGCCAAGCAGAUUGACAGGCAGAUUUUCCUUAACAAAACAUGCGACGUCAACAGCAACCAGAAACGUAUCUCCCUCUGCAAGCAAGUGUCCUGAAAUAAAGGCCAAAGGAACAUCAGCCCAAUGUAUGAUGAAAACUCUUGUAGGAGAAGAAGAUACGACAGUAGGAUGAUAGCUGAUGAUAACACCUCAAUAGCUGCUCCAUCAAGAAGGAUAUGAGUAUAUUCAAGCCAUUUGCAAACAUUGUGGUGCAAAAAGCCAGUCCAUCAUAAUUCCACGUGGCAGGGGCUGGACUCCUAUCUUGUCAGAAGGAAGGCUGGGACUCCCCGGGUGUUCUGAGCAACACUAAAAUGCCACGAGGUGACCUCCUGUGCCUACUGUGUGAGCCUACAGCACAUCUCAUCUCCUAAGAAGUUUUCUUGAUUGGGAGCUGAGGAUGUCACAUAGCUGUGUGACAGCCAGUAGCUCUUGCUGGAUGAGGCGCUUCCAUGGCACUGUGCUCAGAGAGGCUUUUGGACACCUCGGGCCCACCGCAGCGGGAGGAGAAGAGAGAGCCUACCAAUGCAUGGCAGGUGCAAAUGCUGCCACAAGGCUGAACACCUCCUUCCCUUCCAAGGUGCUCUGUGAAGCUGGCAGCCCGUGGCUUGGACAGCUGCAUUGGGAUGGAAUUGAUACAGAGGCCUGGAUUUUUGCAACAUUCUCCCUCAUGCAGGACACCUCUGGGAAACCACCCGCGCUGCAGGGAGGAUCCUGCCAGCACCACUGGCAAUGCCAGGGCAGCCAUCUGCUGCAGGUGACCGUCCUCCUCUGCCACUCCUCCCAGGUGAGCACUGCUCUCCUUAUUCUCUUUGUCCUCUGUGAAGGGCUGGGGGUGUUUUGGUCAGUAUGGCUUCAAGGCACCAAGGAGAGGUGCUGACCUCAGUUCUUCCAUGUUCAGGAUGGUGAACCUUGGUGCUGGCCGUAGGGGCCCCACAUCACAGUGCCACUUGUGGCUAUGGCCCUGUCCUGCAGUGGAAGGUCCUUUCCUGUCUCCGUGUGUAAGCUACAUUCAUGCCGAAUCACAGUGGCAUUCCUUCCUUUGGGCAGCAGGCACUCAGAGC
ensembl:lncRNA